rnacentral:rRNA from 1 species
AUUCCAGCUCCAAUAGCGUAUAUUAAAGUUGUUGCAGUUAGAACGCUCGUAGUCGGAUUUCGGGGCGGUCCGACCGGUCUGCCGAUGGGUACGCACUGGUCGGAGCGUCCUUCCUGCCGGAGACCGUGCCUACUCUUAACUGAGCGGGGGCGGGAGACGGCACUUUUACUUUGAAAAAAUCAGAGUGUUUCAAGCAGGCAGCUCGCUCUUGCAUGGAUUAGCAUGGGAUAAUGAAAUAGGACUUUGGUGCUAUUUUGUUGGUUUCGAACACCGAAGUAAUGAUGAGAAGGGACAGUCAGGGGCACUCGUAUUCCGCAGAGAGAGGUGAAAUUCUCAGACCCGCGGAAGACGAACCACUGCGAAAGCAUUUGCCAGGGAUGUUUUCAUCA